CGGGAGACACACGGCGGGUGCUAACGUCCGUCGUGAAGAGGGAAACAACCCAGACCGCCAGCUAAGGUCCCAAAGUCAUGGUUAAGUGGGAAACGAUGUGGGAAGGCCCAGACAGCCAGGAUGUUGGCUUAGAAGCAGCCAUCAUUUAAAGAAAGCGUAAUAGCUCACUGGUCGAGUCGGCCUGCGCGGAAGAUGUAACGGGGCUAAACCAUGCACCGAAGCUGCGGCAGCGACGCUUAUGCGUUGUUGGGUAGGGGAGCGUUCUGUAAGCCUGUGAAGGUGUACUGUGAGGCAUGCUGGAGGUAUCAGAAGUGCGAAUGCUGACAUAAGUAACGAUAAAGCGGGUGAAAAGCCCGCUCGCCGGAAGACCAAGGGUUCCUGUCCAACGUUAAUCGGGGCAGGGUGAGUCGACCCCUAAGGCGAGGCCGAAAGGCGUAGUCGAUGGGAAACAGGUUAAUAUUCCUGUACUUGGUGUUACUGCGAAGGGGGGACGGAGAAGGCUAUGUUGGCCGGGCGACGGUUGUCCCGGUUUAAGCGUGUAGGCUGGUUUUCCAGGCAAAUCCGGAAAAUCAAGGCUGAGGCGUGAUGACGAGGCACUACGGUGCUGAAGCAACAAAUGCCCUGCUUCCAGG
rnacentral:rRNA from 1 species